CCUACGGGAGGCAGCAGUGAGGAAUAUUGGUCAAUGGCCGGAAGGCUGAACCAGCCAUGCCGCGUGAAGGUCAGUGCCCUAUGGGCGUUAAACUUCUUUUGUGCGGGAGCAAUAAUGGUCACGUGUGGCCAGACGAGAGUACCGUACGAAUAAGCAUCGGCUAACUCCGUGCCAGCAGCCGCGGUAAUACGGGGGAUGUAAGCGUUAUCCGGAUUUUUUGUGUUUAAAGGGUGCGUAGGCUGGGAGGUAAGUGAGCGGUGAAAUGCCCCCGCUCAACGGGGUGACGUGCCAUUGAUACUGACGUGCUUGAAUGCGGAUGACGUGGGAGGAAUGUGUGGUGUAGCGGUGAAAUGCAUAGAUAUCACACAGAACACCGAUUGCGAAGGCAUCUCACGAAUCCGCGAUUGACGCUGAUGCACGAAAGCGUGGGUAUCAAACAGGAUUAGAUACCCGUGUAGUC
rnacentral:rRNA from 1 species